GCAUUGGUGGUUCAGUGGUAGAAUUCUCGCCUGCCACGCGGGAGGCCCGGCUUUGAUUCCCGUCCAAUGCA
rnacentral:tRNA from 1 species